rfam:Felis catus isolate Cinnamon breed Abyssinian chromosome B2, whole genome shotgun sequence.
GCCUGGGUGGCUCAGUCGGUUAAGCGUCCGACUUCGGCUCAGGUCAUGAUCUCACAGUUCGUGGGUUCGAGCCCCGCGUCGGGCU